rnacentral:rRNA from 1 species
UACGGGGGGGGGCAAGCGUUGUUCGGAAUUACUGGGCGUAAAGCGUGCGCAGGCGGUUUUGUAAGUCUGUCGUGAAAUCCCCGGGCUCAACCUGGGAAUGGCGAUGGAGACUGCAAGGCUAGAGUUUGGCAGAGGGGGGUAGAAUUCCACGUGUAGCAGUGAAAUGCGUAGAUAUGUGGAGGAACACCGAUGGCGAAGGCAGCCCCCCUGGGUCAAGACUGACGCUCAUGCACGAAAGCGUGGGGAGCAAACAGG